rnacentral:lncRNA from 1 species
CCAGGGUGGCGGCGCCUGCGGCCGAGCGCCGGGAGCAGGUAGUGUUGGUGCUUCUUUUCAGUGCCAGUCCAUCCAUCACGACCACAUUUGUCAUGAUGACAGUGACAAGAUAUCUCCCGGGGCCAAUUCAGCAUCUCUACCUGGCCAUCCUAACAAGGUGAUUUGUGAAAGGGUGAGACUUCAGAGCCUGUUCCCUCUCCUCCCAAGUGAUCAGAACACUACCGUUCAAGAGGAUGCUCACUUCAAAGCUUUCUUCCAGAGUCUCACUCUUGUCGCCGAGGCUGGGGUGCCAUGGCGUGAUCUCAGCUCACAACAACCUCCGCCUCUUGGGUUCA